CUCAACCCCUACCCAGGUCCAGAACAUUCCAUCAUCAUUUCUGGACCUGAUGCGGGGAACGGUGGGGUGGGUCAGGGCUUGGGCUGGGAUUAGCUAUGUCUGUUGCUUCCGGGUGUGGAGUGUGUAAGGCUAAUACCAGAAACGGUUUCGUCUGGGCCCUUUGCCUUCAAGUUGAUGGUCUCACCACCGAGUGGAUGUAGUGGUUGGAUUAUAGUCUGCACCAGCGAUUUCCAUGAGUGUGGUUAACAAAGGGGAAGGUCAGUAUUUGUUUAUACUCAAAUGGACUCUAAAAAUACAAUUACUAUUAGCUGGGGUUUCUGAUAGUUAUUUUAAACAGAGAAUGCAAUUAAAGCAAGAGCUAAAGAAAUACAAGUAUUUAAGCACCAUUAGAUGCCAUACUCCUAAUACUCAACAUGGAACCAAUAUUUGAGUGCCUACCUAACAGAUAAGUCAGGCACUGUUCUAGGUAUUGAGUUACUACACUGACCAAGAUGGACGAGGUUCUUGCCCUCAUGGAGCUUCUAGUCCAAUGAUCCAUUACUACUUAUUGAUCAUGGUUUGUUUUCCACCUCCACUCAAAUGAUAAUAACAGCCAAAAACCCUGACUUGAGUUAUCAGCAUAACUAACAUCUGUGUUUAUUAUUUGUUAUUAUUAGUGCUUAUUAUGUGCCAGGCACUGUGCUGCAAGCUUUGUGUUCACAUUUCUCAUUGAAUUCUCACAACCACUACAGAGUUGGUGCUGGUACCAUCUCCGUUUUACAGACAGGUUAAGUUACAUGUCCAAAGUCUCACAGGUAGUUAGAAAUUGAACCCAUACCAUCUGGCUCUAGAGUCUAUGCUCUAAACCCUGACACCAGAUUUUCCUGAAUUCAUAAUGAAUCAUUUAAAUUUCUAGUUAAUGACAUUAACUAGAAUGUUAAUGUCAUUGGUCUGCUUGGCAGCAGAUGCCCUCCUGGACAGAUUUUUUCUCUUCUGCUCUCAGCAUCCCUCCCACUCUGGGCCUCCAUGGAUUGUGAACUCAUUGACUUCAAACUAAAUUGGAGAGAGACUGUUAGGUUGACUUGCAAGCCCUUGCAGUGAACACCUGCUAAUCUGGAAUCCUUCCUCAACUGUGGGAGAAACAGUGACAUGGAUGAGUCUUCCCGAUUCCAUUCAGGGACAUCAUGUUGGAAGCCAGACACUGACAUGAUAGGAAUAUUUACACUAUGAAAAAUGGCAAAUGCUACAAGUCAGGUCUUUGUGUUUGUUUAUUUUCCUGAAGAGCUGGUCAUUAAGCAUUGACCAGCACACCGCUGGAGAGGACCCAAGAGGUCCUUGGGAAGGGGAAAACAUUAGGCUGUAGCUGAUGGCAACCUCCUGACAGUCUGUGUCCAUUGAGGAGAGAGCAGGGAGCACCAGAGAAGGAGACAAGAGAAUGGUGUUCUAGACCUGGCUUUGCGGCUGAGGGAGCGGGUCUCAAGCUGUUUGUCCUCAUUUGCAUCGGGUGGCCUCAGUCAUAGGAAUAGGUAAAAAACUAUUUUCAGAAAUAGCCUGGAUGGCCGGGCACGUUGGCUCACACCUGUAAUUCCACACUUUGGGAGGCCGAGGCAGGUGGAUCACUUGAGGUCAGGAGUUCAAGACCAGCCCGGCCAACAUGGUGGAACCCCGUCUCUACUAAAAAUGCAAAAAUUAGCUGGGCAUGGUGGCGUGCGCCUGUAGUCCCAACUACUCGGGAGGCUGAGGCAGGAGAAUUGCGUGAACCCGGGAGGUGGAGGUUGCAGUCAGCAGAGAUUGUGCGCCACUGCACUCCAGCCUGGGAGACAGAGUGAGACUCCGUCUCGGGGAAAAAAAAAAAAAAAAA
rnacentral:lncRNA from 1 species